AACGAACGCUGGCGGCACGCCUAAUACAUGCAAGUCGUACGAGAAAGCUUCUUCGGGAGUGAUUAAAGUGGCGCACGGGUGAGUAACACGUAGAUGACUUACCUCAUAGUUUGGGAUAACAGGGAGAAGUUCCUGCUAAUACCGGAUGUUUUUAUAAAACUUGGAAAUAUAUAAACAAAGGUGGCCUCUUUACAAUGCUAUCGCUAUGAGAAAGGUCUGCGUCCCAUUAGCUUGUUGGUGAGGUAAUAGCUUACCAAGGCAACGAUGGGUAACCGGUCUGAGAGGAUGAUCGGUCACACUGGAACUGAGACACGGUCCAG
rnacentral:rRNA from 1 species